rnacentral:lncRNA from 1 species
GGGUUUGUCUCUGUUAUACCUAAUAAAAAUUUACUUAUUAACAUCAAUAUAGUCCUAUACUAUCCCAUAAAGACUUUUUUUUUCUCCAAAAGGAAACUUUGAAACACAGGAAAGAAAAACAUGACUAUUAGGUAAUAUAACAGAUGGCAGAGUGACAUUCUAGCCCAGCAUAGCUGUGAGUAAUGUAGGUGCAAACACCCAUUCAAUAGAAAAAUCUCUACAGCACCAAAUAGAAAUCCUGACCAAAUCUUGGGUUGUUACGACAAGUCUUCAUUAUUUUUACAACCCCAGAAAAUGGUAUCCAUUUGGAAUCUCAUGGUUCAGCCAUACCCAAUGGUGGAAUAAAGAUAGAUACCCCUAAACAAAAUAUUUACACUAUAAUGGGCGUCUUCUCUGAAAAUGGCCUCUCUGAGCCCUGACAGCUCUAUUUCCACCACACAACUGUGCAAUCAGGGUUGGUCAGACUAAGGAUGGAUGUUGAACCCAGUUAGUAUAAUCAGAUUUCUUCAACUGAAAAUUUUGAAUUGGAAUCAAAUAGCCAGUCAGCAACAUGCCCACCUGGGCACUCUGGAGCACCUCAGAAAAUGAGUCAGUGGUGGGGCUGAGGGUUGGGGGGUGGAUGGAAAACAGAGAAGGGAGGUGAAGACAAGAGGGAAGGGGCCUCGGGAGAGCAAGAGGUACGGAGAUGAACAAAGGGGAGCAUUCCAGGCAGCAAGAAAUAUUUGCAUGGGCCAGUAAGCACGUGAUGGCAGUGGAGAUGCAGCAAGGUGGAUGAAGACAGGUAGAAUCAAUAGGACUUGGUAACAGAUCAGAUGUGGGAGGUGAGGGGAGAAGGAGGUACCAAAACUGACUGCUAGAUAUCCAGCAUGAGCAAUUGUGUGGACAGGAGUGCCCGGUAAUGAGAUGAAUAAAAGUGUUUGUUGAGAAGAUCAUAAAGCCUAAAGAAACAUUUGUCCAAUCAGCAUCUUUGGUACAGUUAAGAACAUUUUAAAAGUGGAGCUCUUGAGAAAAAUGCAUCAAUAUAUUUAUGAAAGGAUAUGCACCAAAUAGUUAACAGUCGCCAAUUCAGUAUGGUAGUAUUAUUACUUAUCUAUAUGUUCUAAAUGUUUUAGUAUGAACACAUAUUGCUUUAUAACAGGAAAAAUACAGGGGUAUUUUAAACAAAGUAUUAUAAAAAUCUUAAAACACACAUAUAUGUUGUAAUAAGGCUUAUAUCAUCCUUAUAUGAGAUAGGACAACAAGGCAACAUUGCAGCAAAACAUAAGAAUUUUUAUAUUUUCCUGGGACCAACAUGAUCUCUAUUUCUUCUUUAAAAAAAUAAAAGAAUUGCAUAUUUGUAAAAACACAAAUGAGGUAGCACCAUCUGGUAUUCCGCUCGAACUCAUCUGGUGAAGUGCAGCAAAGUCAUAUUUCCAGCCUCCUUUCUAUGCCGACUCGUAAGAGCAGGAGCAACCACAAGGAGACGAGCUCUGAUGAUAGAUCAGAAGCUGUGGUGAGCACUUCAUGCUUAUU